ACAGUAGAGGUCGCCCUAAGAUAGUUUCGUACAGCACCUUUAAAAAACACUGAAUCAGCACAACGUAGCUUAAAUGAAAAAAUGAAAUUCAGUGAUGUUAUCUCAUUCAGUAACUUUUCAUUGUGACCACAUCUGUUAAGCUUCAAAAAGACUCCAGAAACUGUGUGCAACGUUUGUUUGUCUGCAGCACGAGGUCAAGAAAUUUGACUCUUUAUGUGUAUUUGCAAGUCCAUUUCCAAAGCAAGUGGCUGGUGCCCUGAUUUAUUUUGACUCCUUUCACAAGCCUGUCCCCUCACCAGUCGAACCUCGUCAGCAUGUUGAAUUGGACCCAGUUGGUCACUAAUAUAAGUGUGAUGUGAGGUGACACCACAGGUGGCUUUUGUUGCCACUAGUUCUUUGAUAGACAAUUUGGAUGGGACAAAUGAAGAGUGCACAUGUGCCAGCAGUUUGCAUGGCUUUGUUCUGUGUCAAACAUGAAAAACAUGCCCUAAAUAGAGUCUAACAACAUCUGAGAUAUACAGCACAAGAUAUUUUUAAACUACAGAUCCAUCAUCCAAACCCACUUUCCUCUGGAGGGUCGUGUGAGGACUUUUGAGUUUAUACCAGUGCUCUUAAAUUCAGAUGUUGGAAAAUUUUUGAUUCAUAUAUUGAAAGAGUGUGUAUAGACAAGAAACUAAUACAAUCAGAAAUUAACAAAACCAAGAUUAUGUUUGUGUGAGGUUUCUUUUCUUCUCUUUCUGACUGUAUGCAUAUAAUUUUUUUGUUUGAACACCAUUUGGAACAAAAUUUGAUUGAAAAGUGUUUUGUAAUUAAUUUAUCACAUGAUAA